CGAGACUACGAAUAUCCCUCGUGGAUCU
rnacentral:sRNA from 1 species